GAGCAAUCUGAAGAGGAUGUAAGUCAGUUUGAUUCCAAGUUUACACGUCAGACACCUGUCGACAGCCCAGAUGACACAACUCUCAGUGAAAGUGCCAAUCAGGUGUUUUUGAUGGAGCCUCACUCUCUCGCCAGACUGGAGUGCAGUGGCACGAUCUCAGCUCACUGCAACCUCCACCUCCCUGGUUCAAGCGAUUCUCCUGCCUCAGCCUCCCGAGUAGCUGGGAUUACAGGUAUGCACCACCAUGCCCGGCUAAUUUUGUAUUUUUAGUAGAG
rnacentral:lncRNA from 1 species